UUAGAGCAUGAUUAUCGCCAACUCCCCCUAAUGAGUUUCUUAAAAAUAUUUUAAUAAUAAAUUUGGGCUAGAAAGUUUAUUAAGAAACCCUAUAUAUUGUGAGGUCCAUUGGUAGAGUUUAUCACGACCACUGUUUACCAAAAUCGAUCGCAAUUGAAAUAGAGAGAAGAUAGAGAGAUCUGGGAAACAGAACACUGAGAAACGUAUUUCUUCAGCAGAGACCGAUCUCGUUUGCCUUCUCCUCCACCUCUUGGAGGAUAAAUCUCACCAUUUUCUGGAUCUACCUCAACACAUCUCCGUCUUUCAGCUUUACCGGAAAUCUGCAAUCGCCGUUUGAUCAAAGGUUGCAGAGAUUUGGGGAAAUCCAGAAUUCUGUGGCGCAGGAAAUUGGAGAGAGAAACGUAGAGGUAAAAACAAUUGUGUCAAAGAAAAUUGAAGUCCAAGGAUUUUUUUUCUGAGGAAGAAAAAGAAAUGGUCGAGAUAAAAAAAAAUUAUCCAAGAAAAUUUGGUCGAUGCUGCUUGAACCAAUGGGAGCCUGCCACAACAUCUCUUAGAAUCGAUUCUUAAUGUACCCAAAUAAGGAUCAAUCCUUGUGUUUUAACCAUUUUUUAAAUUAAAAAAAAAACCCAUUAAAGUUUAAAAAAUCUAACAAGAAACUAGCAAUAAAGAUGGUCUUAGAGCAUGUUUAUCAAAGAAACAUUAAUUGGUUUCUUCUUUAUUAUUAUAUUAGUAAAAUUGGAAUAAGAAACUAAGAAGAAACUCAUGUUUUUUUUAGGUACAUUGGAGAAACUGUGAUGAAUUUCUUAAAAAAAUUUAAUUAAAAAAAGAUUGAUUAUUGAAAAUGAAAUUGUUAAUAUUACAUUUAUUAUAAUUUGAAAACAUUACAAACUUAACAGAAUAUUGAAACAACACAAUUUUAACAAUUAAACUUAAUUACGCACUAAGUGACCAAACUUUUGCCAUAUAUGAUCAACCAAAUCCUUACAUGACACUUAAUUAAAACAACAACAAACUUGACAUAGAGAACAUAGGAACUUGACUCAAACUCGACACAAAAUGGA
rnacentral:lncRNA from 1 species